rnacentral:rRNA from 1 species
GGUCUUAGCUUGCUAAGGCUGAUGGCGACCGGCGCACGGGUGAGUAACACGUAUCCACCUUUCCGGCUACUCUUGGCCAGCCUUCUGAAAGGAAGAUUCCUCCAGGAUGGCAUCAUGAGUUCACAUGUCCGCAUGAUUAAAGGUAUUUUCCGGUAGACGAUGGGGAUGCGUUCCAUUAGAUAGUAGGCGGGGUAACGGCCCACCUAGUCAACGAUGGAUAGGGGUUCUGAGAGGAAGGUCCCCCACAUUGGAACUGAGACACGGUCCAAACUCCUACGGGAGGCAGCAGUGAGGAAUAUUGGUCAAUGGGCGAUGGCCUGAACCAGCCAAGUAGCGUGAAGGAUGACUGCCCUAUGGGUUGUAAACUUCUUUUAUAAAGGAAUAAAGUCGGGUAUGCAUACCCGUUUGCAUGUACUUUAUGAAUAAGGAUCGGCUAACUCCGUGCCAGCAGCCGCGGUAAUACGGAGGAUCCGAGCGUUAUCCGGAUUUAUUGGGUUUAAAGGGAGCGUAGAUGGAUGUUUAAGUCAGUUGUGAAAGUUUGCGGCUCAACCGUAAAAUUGCAGUUGAUACUGGAUGUCUUGAGUGCAGUUGAGGCAGGCGGAAUUCGUGGUGUAGCGGUGAAAUGCUUAGAUAUCACGAAGAACUCCGAUUG